ACUUGGGCAGGUGGGGUGAAGGCUCAUUGAGUUACUACUAUCUGCGGGAUCGUGACCCUGACGCCGACGCCAACGGCUAUUCCAUUCCCGACGACCGGUAUCGCCUGAACGUCGGUUACAACGCCAAUCCCCUUACCAACCUGAACGUCAAAGGCGUGGCCCGCUACCAGAGUGACGAACUCGUCCUCCACGAUUUUUUUGAGAGCGAAUACCGGCAGAAUCCCCAGCCCAACACCUUUGUUGAAGCCAACAAACUCUGGAGCGACCUCAGCCUCGACCUCUACGCGCAACCCCGCCUCAACGAAUUCUUUGAAACCGUCGAACGCCUGCCCGACAUUCGACUCACCGCCUUCCGCCAGGAACUCGGCCCAACCCCGCUCUACUACGAGAGCGAAACAUCCGCCGGCUACUACCAACGCCGCUUUGCCGAAUCCACCAACACCUUUCUCGGGACCAACAACUUCUCCGCCGCGCGGGCCGAUACCUAUCAUCAACUCACCCUGCCGCAGACCUAUUUUGGCUGGCUCAACGUGACCCCACGCGCGGGCGGACGCUUCACCUACUACAGCGAAGCCACCGGCCCGGGCGGCACCAACAACGAAACUUAUCGUACCGUCUUCAACACCGGCGC
rnacentral:misc_RNA from 1 species